GAUGAACGCUGGCGGCGUGCUUAACACAUGCAAGUCGAACGGAAAGGCCCAAGCUUGCUUGGGUACUCGAGUGGCGAACGGGUGAGUAACACGUGGGUGAUCUGCCCUGCACUUCGGGAUAAGCCUGGGAAACUGGGUCUAAUACCGGAUAGGACCACUUCUUGGAUGUUGUGGUGGAAAGUUUUUUCGGUGUGGGAUGAGCUCGCGGCCUAUCAGCUUGUUGGUGGGGUAAUGGCCUACCAAGGCGUCGGCGGGUAGCCGGCCUGAGAGGGUGUACGGCCACAUUGGGGCUGGGAUACGGCCCAGACUCCUACGGGGGGCAGCAGUGGGGAAUAUUGCACAAUGGGCGCAAGCCUGAUGCAGCGACGCCGCGUGGGGGAUGACGGCCUUCGGGUUGUAAACUCCUUUCGCUAGGGACGAAGCGUUUUGUGACGGUACCUGGAGAAGAAGCACCGGCUAACUACGUG
rnacentral:rRNA from 1 species